AAAGCUCUGUUGUUAGGGAAGAACAAGUACCGUUCGAAUAGGGCGGUACCUUGACGGUACCUAACCAGAAAGCCACGGCUAACUACGUGCCAGCAGCCGCGGUAAUACGUAGGUGGCAAGCGUUGUCCGGAAUUAUUGGGCGUAAAGGGCUCGCAGGCGGUUUCUUAAGUCUGAUGUGAAAGCCCCCGGCUCAACCGGGGAGGGUCAUUGGAAACUGGGGAACUUGAGUGCAGAAGAGGAGAGUGGAAUUCCACGUGUAGCGGUGAAAUGCGUAGAGAUGUGGAGGAACACCAGUGGCGAAGGCGACUCUCUGGUCUGUAACUGACGCUGAGGAGCGAAAGCGUGGGGAGCGAACAGGAUUAGAUACCCUGGUAGUCCACGCCGUAAACGAUGAGUGCUAAGUGUUAGGGGGUUUCCGCCCCUUAGUGCUGCAGCUAACGCAUUAAGCACUCCGCCUGGGGAGUACGGUCGCAAGACUGAAACUCAAAGGAAUUGACGGGGGCCCGCACAAGCGGUGGAGCAUGUGGUUUAAUUCGAAGCAACGCGAAGAACCUUACCAGGUCUUGACAUCCUCUGACAAUCCUAGAGAUAGGACGUCCCCUUCGGGGGCAGAGUGACAGGUGGUGCAUGGUUGUCGUCAGCUCGUGUCGUGAGAUGUUGGGUUAAGUCCCGCAACGAGCGCAACCCUUGAUCUUAGUUGCCAGCAUUCAGUUGGGCACUCUAAGGUGACUGCCGGUGACAAACCGGAGGAAGGUGGGGAUGACGUCAAAUCAUCAUGCCCCUUAUGACCUGGGCUACACACGUGCUACAAUGGACAGAACAAAGGGCAGCGAAACCGCGAGGUUAAGCCAAUCCCACAAAUCUGUUCUCAGUUCGGAUCGCAGUCUGCAACUCGACUGCGUGAAGCUGGAAUCGCUAGUAAUCGCGGAUCAGCAUGCCGCGGUGAAUACGUU
rnacentral:rRNA from 2 species